UUCAGAUAAUUGGCUAUGUAUCUCUGUUGUCUAAGUUCUUAAACGCUGUUGCCUUAAUUGAAUUCCCACACUUGGCCAAAAUUCAAUUUAUGGAGGGAGUCCAUUUCGAGGAAUGACACGGUGUCGUUUUGACAGUUCGCCCUAAGGAUCCACUACAUUUUGGUAGAGGCAGUCGCUCUCUCUCUCUCUCUCUCUCUCUCUCUCUCUCACUGCGAAGAAUCUCAGUCAAUAAUCCCAUGGAUUUCGACUGCGGCAUGCCCCGAGAGCGCUCCGACGUUAAGAAGCUCCGAUCUCAAUACCAGCCAAAGCUUCCUCCUUAGCUCCAGGCCGUUGAGAAUUGAAGCUUUGAUUUUGAUCUGGGCAAGAAAGACUCGUCAAGGCUUUUCCUGUUGACGAAAGGGGAUCGGUUUUUAGGGAAAAAAGCCUAAGGAGCUUAUCUUGAUUUCUUCUAUAUGUGUGUGUGUGUGUGUGUGUGUAUUUUUCUGGGUCUGCAUCUCGUUUUGCUUUGAUUUUGUUGAUGUAUAUGUAAUUGGGCUCAUGGGAUGUGGCUAUGUUUCCUAGUUCUUGUUUUGGGAACGUUUUCUGGAAUUUGAUGUUUUUGGUUUGCACUUUGUGUAGACAGAGCUGAAGGAGAAGCUAGCAAGCAGCAAGAAUGCUUGUCUCACCACGGCCAUCUAUUUACCGCUCGCCAUCUAUGGGCUAGCCUCAUCGUCUUCUCACCCUCAUGUUGUUGAGGAGGAAAAUUUUGCUCGAGCUGUUGCGUCUCUUAGCAAGGUACAGACUAAGAAGGUUGCACGCUUCCUUCCAGACCCGGAAAUGCAUUGAGGUCCAAAGCUUAGGGCAGGUCGUCAAAUCACCAGCAAGCACAUUUCUCUCUUGGGUCCAGAGGUUGUCAAUGAAAUUCUUAACCAGGAAGAAGAUGGCGGGGAACACAAUGCCAAGCGUCAAAUGACUGAAGAUAAUCCCCCCUCAGGUUGAUGAAAUGAAGGUCCUUAGUAUGUCAAUUAAGUUGACCUAGAGCUCCACACCCUCCCUCUGGAGAGGAGAGAGAUAGAGAGAUCUCUCUUUGAUUCAUCCCGUUAAGGCUAGUAUGGAACUAUUGUUAUAUUUAUACAAGUCCAAAUGUUGUUCAUCGUAGUUUUAUUGCUUUCUUCCCCAAGUACUCCUUAGUUUCAUUUAAUAAAGAUUGUUCUUCCAUACAAGAAAAUGUAUAUCAU